rnacentral:lncRNA from 1 species
CAACAUCAGUCUGUUCUGACUGACAUAACACCACGAGGACACCAACAUCAGUCUGUUCGGACUGACACAACAGCAUGGCAGCACCAAUAUCGGCCUGUAUGGACUGCUGUAACACUGUGAUGGCCCCAAUGUCAGCCUGUUCUGAUGGACAUAACACCAUGAGGACCCCAAUGUCAGCCUGGUCCAACUGACACCCCAUGGCAGCACCAACACCAGGCUGUACUGACUGACAUAACACCAUGAGGACAGCAGCAUCAGGCUGUAUUGACUGACAUAACAGCAUGGCAGCACCAAUAUCGGCCUGUAUGGACUGUUGUAACACUGUGAUGGCCCCAAUGUCAGCCUGUACUGCCUGAUAUAACACCACGAUAACACUGACAUCAGCCUGUACUGCCUGAUAUAACACCAUAACACUGACAUCAGCCUGUACUGCCUGAUAUAACACUGUG